rnacentral:rRNA from 1 species
GCUAACUCCGGGCAAGCAGACGAGGGAAGACGGAGGGUCCGAGCGUUAAUCGGAAUGACUGGGCGUAAAGCGUGAGCAGGCGGUUUGUUAAGCGAGAUGUGAAAGCCCUGGGCUCAACCUAGGAAUAGCAUUUCGAACUGGCGAACUAGAGUCUUGUAGAGGGGGGUAGAAUUCCAGGUGUAGCGGUGAAAUGCGUAGAGAUCUGGAGGAAUACCGGUGGCGAAGGCGGCCCCCUGGACAAAGACUGACGCUCAUGCACGAAAGCGUGGGGAGCAAACAGGAUUAGAUACCCGAGUAGUC